rnacentral:rRNA from 1 species
CGCUGGCGGCAUGCUUUACACAUGCAAGUCGAACGGCAGCACGGGAGCUUGCUCCUGGUGGCGAGUGGCGAACGGGUGAGUAAUGCAUCGGAACGUACCCAGUAGGUGGGGGAUAGCCCGGCGAAAGCCGGAUUAAUACCGCAUAUUUCCUGAGGGAGAAAGCGGGGGACCUUCGGGCCUCGCGCUACUGGAGCGGCUGAUGUCGGAUUAGCUAGUUGGUGAGGUAAAGGCUCACCAAGGCGACGAUCCGUAGCUGGUCUGAGAGGAUGAUCAGCCACACUGAGACUGAGACACGGCCCAGACUCCUACGGGAGGCAGCAGUGGGGAAUUUUGGACAAUGGGGGCAACCCUGAUCCAGCCAUGCCGCGUGAGUGAAGAAGGCCUUCGGGUUGUAAAGCUCUUUCAGGUGGAAAGAAAUCACUACCCCGAAUACGGGUGGUGGAUGACGGUACCAUCAGAAGAAGCACCGGCUAACUACGUG